rnacentral:lncRNA from 1 species
AAGAAAAAUGCUAGAAAAUCAAUCUUUGUGGAACAAAUAAUAAAAGAUAGAACAUCAAUCUUUUAGUAACAUAGGUAGUACUACUUAAGAUAUGAAUAUUAUUACAUUUUAUAAAAAAGAGUGUAUUGGUCACGUCAUGACUCCCCUAUCCAUUGAAACAUCUCUUGCUGCUUCCACUUCAUUUCAACACUUAUCCCUUUUUUCAACAAUCUAUAAUUGUACGCGUUUUUUUUUAUUAUUAUUUACAAAACGUAACAAUUAGCCGAGAUAAUUAGUAGACGGGGAUAUAUAUUUAAGUGAAAAACAUUUAUAUCCGCAACAUGAAAACAAACUUCUCUUCCAAUCAUUUUCAAUACAAGUGUAUGUUAGUGUGUUCCAUGUGAUAAGAUGUAGAAAUUAGAAGAAAGUAGAAGAAUAUGAAAGUGUUGUGUUAAACAAGCAAGAGAAACGCCUCUACUGACAUGGAGACCCCAUACCAUCUUUUAUUUUUUUGGUAUAAAAAUAGGGUCUAGAUUCAACCUCUACUUCCACUUCCAGCCGUUGAUCUUUUUACUUUAUUUUGAUCAAACCAAAGUCUGAGUGAGGUCCGCGGAACCGGCGUUUGACGGAUGAGUAGACCGGCGGCGAACGGCAGCCGUCAGAUGUGGGGGGAAUCACGCAGAGACUGAAUCUCUUGAGAAAACGACACGUGUCUAAGGAUUUGGACUCCACAGGGAAGAGCACCAAAAAGUCUAUAGUAGAAGUAGUAGUGGAUGUGGUGUGUGAGUCGGACCUGAGGAGAGAAACCGAAUAAUAUUUGGUGUGAUGUGUUCUUCUUCUUCUUCUUUUUGUGUUGGACGGUAGAGAUUAGUCAUCUUGUGGGCUCUACCUGGUUCGCCUUAUUUCUCUCUCCCCGUAAGAAACGCAUCCGCUCCUUCUCUUCUCUUCUCAGCCGUCCGAUCUCGAGAGUGAGAGCCGACCAUCUUCUUCUAUUGCGAUCCACCUCAGCAUCUACCCCUAGGUUUUGUAUUAAUACCUUUUUUUUUGUAUUUAUGUAAACGAACACACACAUUUUUCAUUUUCCUUUAACGCCAAGAAUUUUCACAAAUGCUCUUC